CCAGCGUUUUAUUCAAUUUUUUACCUUUCAUCGCUUCUGAAGAGGGAAGUGAGCCUCCAGGCGACUUUGUCAGUGAGACAUUGGCGGCAGGCACAAUAGCGGGAGUUGGGGCUGCGUGACACUUCGCAAAGUAUUUUCACCGUCUCAGUUCAAAUCCCUCAUAAUCUUCACCUGGUUAUUGCAUCAACCUGCCAACGUGGGUAUCAGAAUCACCUGAAGCUCUCUAAAAGAUUCUAGGACUGCCUCUCGUGUCCGGCGCACGACAGAAAUAUGCAUUCUAACGAGCGCCUCUGGUGGACAGAAUUGGCCUCUGCCCCCACUUACCUCCUUGAAUGAAGCGCUGUGAGUACAGCACUUGGCAGGCGCGACCUGGACUGUGGGCUGCAGUGGAAGGUUUGAGGCCAGGACUAGAAGACUGGCAGGAAAUGUAUGCUGAGCUAAAGAAUGAAUAUUUGCAUACAAUUACAUCUACAUAUGACUUGUUUAUGUAGACCGUACAGUCUGUUCCCAUGCCUUUAUUCAAGAGGUACAGCUGAGGAAGGGGGCGCCUGCUAAGGAGAAGACCCCGUUGUACUUUUGCCAGGACCCUUGGAGUCCUUGAGCCUCACUUAGAACACACUAAAGCCAUCACACAGUUUGGCUUCCCACAGAUCGCUUCCCGCAGAUGGCCCCCAGACUCUACAGAGAGGACAGGCAAGGUUGCCAGCUCCUAAUGCCUGCUUUCCCCUGGGUGCUCUUUAGAUUCACUAGAGAUUGUUUAAUAAAUUCUAAACCAUGGCCAAGAAAAUCAGUAUCUCUGAGAGUGCAACCCUGGUGGGGGUAUUAAGUUCUUCAGGUUACUCCAACAGGCAGCCAAAUUAGAGAACUGCUGGUCAGCCCAAAGAUGUUUUCUGGUGGGGUCCUCAGGUAAACCACUAUGAAUAGUCUAUAACCUUCACCUGUACUCAUUCCUGUCCCUCCUCUUCCUGAGUUUCUCCCCUGCCCAUCCUACCUGCUACGAUCUCCACGAAGCCAGGGUGGACAGGUGGUUCCAGCUGCAGGUCUCAGCAUCAACCAGGAGAAGAAUCUCUUCCAUGGGUACACCUGGACAUAGCUUCUCCUUUGGUGAUACCUGCCUUGUUUCCAACCACUUUCAGCCUCUUCCUGCCCUAAGUUGUCACUUUCUCCCCGUUUCUAAUUUGUAAAGUUAACCUGUUCUCCACCGCUAAAGUCCCUGUAUUUGUCUUGUCCACCACAGCACCUUCCACUCCCAGCACAUUGCUUGAUAUAUAGUAGGUACAUGGUACAUGCUUGUUGACUGACUGAAUGACUGCAUCUGGAGGAGUCCUUGGGCCUAGAAAAGAAAACAACGGUCUCAAAGGCCCUGGCUAAAUCAUCUAACUUCUGGGAAAACAAAAUCGAACUUUUAAGUCCUGCCCUGAUGCUCCAGGCCUCUACCGUGAUGCUCCAGUUGCAUCUACCUGUUACUUUUCGCCUCCUGCCCAAAACCUCCCACCCCCUGUUCAACUACAAAUGCCAUCUCAACCAAAGAUUACCCAAAAUGUCCCGCCUGAUAACGUUUCCCUUACCACUUCCACAAAUCUCCCCUUAAAUAUGAAGCCUCCCUGAUCCCUCUCCUGCUCAGCCUGGUUGUUAGGCCGACUGUCACCCCUUCUUGCCUGAAUAAAGGUAACCUACCUCCGUU